rnacentral:tRNA from 2 species
GGAGAGGUGGCCGAGAGGCUGAAGGCACCUUCCUGCUAAGAAGGUAUACGGGUAAAACUGUAUCAAGGGUUCGAAUCCCUUCCUCUCCGCCA